rnacentral:rRNA from 1 species
UUCCGGUUGAUCCUGCCGCCGGCCACCGCUAUCAAGUUCCGACUAAGCCAUGCGAGUCAAGGUAUCGUAAGAUGCCGGCAAACUGCUCAGUAACACGUGGAUAAUCUAACCUUGAGUAAGGGAUAACCUCGGGAAACUGAGGAUAAUACCUUAUAAUUGCUUAAAACUGGAAUGUUUAAGCAAUAAAAGUUCCGACGCUCAAGGAUGAGUCUGCGACCUAUCAGGUAGUAGGUGGUGUAAUGGACCACCUGGCCUCAGACGGGUACGGGCCCUGGGAGGGGUAGCCCGGAGAUGGACUCUGAGACAUCAGUCCAGGCCCUACGGGGCGCAGCAGGCGCGAACACUGUGCAAUGCGCGAAAGCGCGACACGGGGAGCUUGAGUGUCUUGGCAUAGCCAAGACUUUUCUCAUUCCUAAAAAGCAUGAGGAAUAAGUGCUGGGUAAGACGGGUGCCAGCCGCCGCGGUAACACCCGCAGCACAAGUGGUGGUCACUUUUAUUGAGCCUAAAGCGUUCGUAGCCGGUUUUGUAAAUCUCUAGAUAAAGCCUGAAGCUUAACUCCAGAAAGUCUGAAGAGACUGCAAGACUUGAGAUCGGGUGAGGUUAAACGUACUUUCAGGGUAGGGGUAAAAUCCUGUAAUCCCGGAAGGACGACCAGUGGCGAAAGCGUUUAACUAGAACGAAUCUGACGGUAAGGAACGAAGGCUAGGGUAGCAAACCGGAUUAGAUACCCGGGUAGUCCUAGCUGUAAACACUGCCCAUUUGAUGUUGCUUUUCCGUUGAGGGAAGGCAGUGUCGGAGCGAAGGUGUUAAAUGGGCCGCUUGGGAAGUAUGGUCGCAAGACUGAAACUUAAAGGAAUUGGCGGGGGAGCACCGCAACGGGAGGAAUGUGCGGUUUAAUUGGAUUCAACGCCGGA